CUUGAUGGAGCCGAGCCACAGCGGACGUCCUUCGGGCCGGUCCUGGCCGUAGGUGGCCAGCAGCGCCUGCGCCUC
rfam:Streptomyces autolyticus strain CGMCC0516, complete genome.